UUUAUAAUAUUUUUCUUUUUUAGUUCAAGUGCAAUGUCUUCAAAUAUUGUUUUGUUUCUUUUAACUUUACUGUCCAUGAGGCUCAGUAUAUGUUUCUCGUUCACAAUUGACAGCAUUUCGUGUACAUGUUUGUCACUCCAAAUAUCACGUUUGUUUAAUUUGUCCAUUUUAAUUGAUCAAGUUUAAACAAAUAAACAGUCACGAAUUUUAUAAUGAAGCUUAGCAAAAAUGUAAUUUACGCGCCUUUUAUGUUUUACUUCAUACAGAGUUGCAUGAAACAACCGUGUGGACUAAUCCCGUGUUUACAUGCACACUCAAUACGAUUCAUCAACUCAUAACUCGCAUUCAAAAUGUGAUUUAUGGUGGCACGGUUAAAAGUUUCAAUUCGAUUUAAGAAUGUGUUUACAUGGGUGUGUCCAAAUAACAUGGUUUGACUUAGCACGGAUUAAAGCGACAUAUAAACAAGUUUCUCAUGUUGAAUAUACAAUCCCUCGUACAAUCAGCAAUAAUUUAUUUUGGUGUAGUUUCGCCUAAUGAAUAUCUUCUCUCUUCACAAAAUUUGAAAACUGCCUCCACACCCGGCACGUUAGACAGCAAGCCGUAUGUAUUUCUUGUGGGCUUUGGAAUCCAUAUACGUAAACAAAGUUUGAAAUUCUAAAGUAAAAUGUGAGCAAAAGUGAAAAUUUAAAGACGAAAGUCUCGAAAAAGAUUUUCUCCGCAAAACUAUAAAUUCAGAAUCCAUCUACAUAUGUAUGUGCUCCUUGAUUCGAAUCGCAAGCGUCCAGACUUAAAAAUAAAAAUUCAUUCAUAGACAUGUCAUUUUUAACGCAUAGACAUGUCAUUUUGACGCAGAGGCGCCAAAAU